CAUAUACUCGAUCAUCCCCAAAUUCAUACCGAGGUAGCACCGUGGUGCUCUGUAGACCUUAAGCUACCAGCUAAUUCAAUGGUGAGGUCGACUUACUGAAAUCUCUGAACAAUAUUUGAAACAUGGAUAGAAUCCACGACUAACACCCAUGUCUAACCAUCAUGAUUUGUAGGUUAGAGGAUUCCAUAUCCUAAUGGCCUAUCAAAUCAAGGCCUAAUAGCCUUGGAAGGUUGAUCUGGAAGGGUGCGGGUGGUCAGCCUU
rnacentral:lncRNA from 1 species